CGGAGGAUGCGAGCGUUAUCCGGAUUUAUUGGGUUUAAAGGGUGCGUAGGCGGCCUUGUAAGUCAGCGGUGAAAUUUUGCAGCUUAACUGUAAAAGUGCCGUUGAUACUGUGAGGCUAGGAUUUGGUUGCUGUGGGUGGAAUGUGUGGUGUAGCGGUGAAAUGCUUAGAGAUCACACAGAAUAUCGAUUGCGAAGGCAGCUCACAAAGCCAAGAUUGACGCUGAGGCACGAAAGUGUGGGGAUCAAACAGGAUUA
rnacentral:rRNA from 1 species